rnacentral:rRNA from 1 species
CCAACUCAGGAGAAGGAACUCGGCAAAUUGACACCGUAACUACGGAAGAAGGUGUGCCCUAUUAGUGUGAAGUGAACAACGGAGCAUGAAUGGGUUGCAAAAAAUCGGUGGCUGCGACUGUUUAUUAAAAACACAGCACUCUGCAAACACGAAAGUGGACGUAUAGGGUGUGACGCCUGCCCGGUGCUGGAAGAUUAAAUGAUGGGGUGCAAGCUCUUGAUUGAAGUCCCAGUAAACGGCGGCCGUAACUAUAACGGUCCUAAGGUAGCGAAAUUCCUUGUCGGGUAAGUUCCGACCUGCACGAAUGGCGUAACGAUGGCCACACUGUCUCCUCCUGAGACUCAGCGAAGUUGAAAUGUUUGUGAUGAUGCAAUCUCCCCGCGGAAAGACGGAAAGACCCCAUGAACCUUUACUGUAGCUUUGUAUUGGACUUUGAACAGAUCUGUGUAGGAUAGGUGGGAGGCUUUGAAGCAGGGUCGCUAGAUCUUGUGGAGCCAACGUUGAAAUACCACCCUGGUGUGUUUGAGGUUCUAACCUAGGUCCAUUAUCUGGAUCGGGGACAGUGCAUGGUAGGCAGUUUGACUGGGGCGGUCUCCUCCCAAAGCGUAACGGAGGAGUUCGAAGGUACGCUAGUUACGGUCGGACAUCGUGACGAUAGUGCAAUGGCAUAAGCGUGCUUAACUGCGAGACUGACAAGUCGAGCAGAUGCGAAAGCAGGACAUAGUGAUCCGGUGGUUCUGUAUGGAAGGGCCAUCGCUCAACGGAUAAAAGGUACUCUGGGGAUAACAGGCUGAUACCGCCCAAGAGUUCAUAUCGACGGCGGUGUUUGGCACCUCGAUGUCGGCUCAUCUCAUCCUGGGGCUGUAGCCGGUCCCAAGGGUAUGGCUGUUCGCCAUUUAAAGAGGUACGUGAGCUGGGUUUAAAACGUCGUGAGACAGUUUGGUCCCUAUCUUCCGUGGGCGCUGCAGAUUUGAGGAAGCCUGCUCCUAGUACGAGAGGACCGGAGUGGACACACCUCUGGUGUAUCGGUUGUCACGCCAGUGGCAUUGCCGAGUAGCUAAGUGUGGAAGAGAUAACCGCUGAAAGCAUCUAAGCGGGAAACUCGUUUCAAGAUGAGAUCUGCCGGGGCCUCGAGCCCCCUGAAGAGUCGUUCAAGACCAGGACGUUGAUAGGUCGGGUGUGGAAGCGCAGUAAUGCGUUAAGCUAACCGAUACUAAUUGCUCGUGCGGCUUGACCCC